ensembl:lncRNA
GUGCCUACAUGCUGUGUCCUAGUUGUAUGUAUAACAGUGAAAUAUUAGAUUGCUAAUUGCCUAGUUGUUUAUCAUAUUUUUAUUGUCAGGAUUGCAAGUGCCCUGCCUCAGGUCAAGGCACGGAGGAUGGCAGGCCCACAGCAGGGACAUGGCGCUGGUUUGCCUUAAUGGACGAACUCAUUGGCAGGUCAGCAGCCGUGUCACCCCCAGUGGUAGUGGGCUCUCUCCCAGCCAGGCCAGGCCAGGUUAGGGUCAGAGUGGAGGAGGAGGUGGUGAGAGCAGGAACCAGCACAGCGACAGCCGCAGGGGCAGCCAGCACAGCGACAGCCGCAGGGGCAGCCAGCACAGCGACAGCCGCAGGGGCAGCCAGCACAGCGACAGCCGCAGGGGCAGCCAGCACAGCGACAGCCGCAGGGGCAGCCAGCACAGCGACAGCCGCAGGGGCAGCCAGCACAGCGACAGGGGCAGGAGCAGAGGGAGCAGCAGGAGCAGUUGAAGCAGAGGCAGGGGAAGGAGCAGAGGCAGGGGCAGGAGCAGGGAGAAGAGGGAGGGAGGAUCCCUUCCUGAUUCUGGUGAGGGAGGAUAUUCUUUAUCAGCGGCAGGCGGAUGAGAGGAGAGAGGUGGAGUCAAGAGAGCGGUUUGACCGUUUUUUCUCUCCUUGAUCGUUUGGUUGAGAGGCGUGAAUGAAUGAACGAUGGUAUGUGUGUGUGUGUAUGUAUGUAUGUCUGUAUGUAUGUAUGUAUGAAUGAGAUCCAAUCAGUUAUCUAUAAAAAUAAAUACAUGUUUAUCAACACUUUCUUUGUCUUUUUUCCCCCUGCAUAAUUAAUAAUCAACCAUACUGUAAAUGUGAUGCAUAAAUUAAGUUCUCAGACAAUUUCACUUAGUUUUACAAAAAUGUAAUUGAUUUUUUUAAAUAAAGAGGAUUCGAUCAACCACAACAAAAAACACAUUCAUAAUGGACAAAAGUGAUUAAAUAAUAUAAAAAAAAUGUAUGUUAAAAUGUAUGUCUUG